rnacentral:rRNA from 1 species
CAGCACCUCAAGUGGUCAGGAUGAUUAUUGGGCCUAAAGCAUCCGUAGCCUGCUUUGUUAGUUUUCGGUUAAAUCCAUACGCUCAACGUAUGGGCUGCCGGGAAUACUGCAAAGCUAGGGAGUGGGAGAGGUAGACGGUACUCGGUAGGAAGGGGUAAAAUCCCUUGAUCUAUUGAUGACCACCUGUGGCGAAGGCGGUCUACCAGAACACGUCCGACGGUGAGGGAUGAAAGCUGGGGGAGCAAACCGGAUUAGAUACCCGAGUAGUCC